rnacentral:rRNA from 1 species
AGAGUUUGAUCCUGGCUCAGGAUGAACGCUAGACGGCAGGCUUAAUACAUGCAAGUCGAGGGGCAGCAGGUCUGUAGCAAUACAGAUGCUGGCGACCGGCAAACGGGUGCGGAACACGUACGCAACCUUCCGUGUCAGGUGGGGGAUAGCCCGGGGAAACCCGGAUUAAUACCCCGUAAUAUUAUGAGGUGGCAUCACCUUAUAAUUAUAGCCGCAAGGCGCCAGAAGAUGGGCGUGCGCCUGAUUAGGUAGUUGGCGGGGUAACGGCCCACCAAGCCUACGAUCAGUAACUGGUGUGAGAGCACGACCAGUCACACGGGCACUGAGACACGGGCCCGACUCCUACGGGAGGCAGCAGUAAGGAAUAUUGGGCAAUGGACGAAAGUCUGACCCAGCCAUGCCGCGUGGAGGAUGAAGGUCCUCUGGAUUGUAAACUUCUUUUA